rnacentral:tRNA from 1 species
AUAUGUAGCUCAGUUGGUUAGAGCAUCGCACUCAUAAUGCGGGGGUCACAGGUUCGAAUCCCGUCAUAGCCACCA